GUCCCUAGAGACAGCCUGGAAAGAUUGGGUGCCAGCUGCAGAGAGGAGAGCAAGGCGACCAAACGCAGGGUAAGGUCUGGAGGUGCUCAUAGUUCACUACGGGACAUGUACAUGGAAGUGAAUAAUUAUGUCACAAGGUGCCAAGGGGGCUAGUUACCUCACAUAGGAUCUUAGAAAAGGUCUCCUGGAGACCAUGUCUGAGCUGGUCCUGAGGUGUGAGUAGGGAUUCUCCGCAGGGCGGGGAAGGACUUGAAAGAGUCUGGCAAUAUGGAGCACAUCAGGAUUAUGGAAGGUGAGCUUGGAGAACAAGGCAGAGUCUAGCCUGUGAAAGGCCUCUUGCAAUUUGUUGAGGAUCCAUGACCUUCUCCCAUGCAUGGUGAAAUGCCCUUAAAGGAUUUUGAAUAGAUUUAAAAGACACUCAAAAACAAAAAACGGUAGAUUCAAAAUAGACGGUAGGGAUCGCUUUCUUCCGUUUUCUUUGAAGGAUCAGAAGUGUUUACCACCACCUGGAUUGUUUUUGGGCUUUCAGCUGUGGCUGCCUGCAGCCCAUCCUGCCCCCAGCACCUAGAGUCAUCUUUAGAAAUGCAAGCCUGAUCGUGGAAUCCACCUUCCUAACACCCUUCAGUGCCCUCCUCUUCGUUACACCCUUACUAUACAAACGAUAGUCCAUGGACCAGCAGCAUCAACAUAACCAGGGAGCUUGUUAGAAAUGUAGAAUCUGGUCCAUCCCAAACCUGACGAAGCAGAAGCUGCAUUUUGCCAAGAUCCCAGGGAAUUUGUGUGCCCGUUAUGGUUUGCGAAGUGCUUCCCAAGAGAACAUACGGCAAGCCAGAGGGAUCUUUGCAGAUCUUGCUCCUUUCAUUCUCUGGCCUCAUCUUGUCGCUCUCCUCCAUCCGUGCCCACAUCCCCACUGUACUGGACCGCUUGCAGCUCCUUGAAUGCAGCAUAGUCUUGUUUUCUUUUUUGCAGUGAUUCUACAUCUUUCCCAUCUUCUCCACCUGGAUGCCUCCAUCCAUCCUUUCAGACUUCCCUUCUCUAGCAAACCUUUCUUGCUAAUUCCCAUGUCUAACACAACACUUCCCCAUACUGCAUGGCCAUUAUCCUUUCUGCAUCAGACUGUGAGCACCUUGAAGGCAGUGGCAGUGACUCAUUCAUUGUGGCAUCUGCAGAUUCCAGUGGACUGCCAGGCAUGCAAUAGAAAAUCAAAAAAGAUUUACUGCUAAAUAAUCCUCAACUCCAGUGGCAGCUCCAUGUGCCAUUUCUCUUCCGCUCUGGCCUCGGCUCUUCCUGUGCCUACCUGGGGCUUGGCUUUCACCUAGGUGUCUGCAUGGAAGGGAGAGCGACCUGGAGGACCAUCGCCAAUCCAUCAAUAGCCUCCCGGUUGAGAUGACUUCAGCUCUGAUUUGGAAGAGCUAUGAUAUUGUUUAUAGGAGUGAAUUAAUAUGUGUAAAGGUUACAAAGUAAACAGUUAAAUUAAAUUAAUUGUGCUGGAGCAGGUCAAACAGGCUUCUGAGAGAUGAACAUACACAUCUCUAUUAACUCCACAUUCAGUGAGUGUGGGUAACUUGAAAUUGGCUGGGUCACCAUUUACAUCAUAGAAAUUGGCAAAUAGUACAAAUUAGGGCUCCCUCACCCCUACUCGGGCAUAGAGCUGGUACACUAGCACACCUCUGGUUAUACAUGCAUGCGUGUGCCACCAGAACAAAACACCUAACAGCAGGCACGUUGCCUCUGUUGCCCACCAUUACAGCUCCCGCACGGAGCAGACAGACUCAUGGCAGGAAUUGAAUGCAUGUUUGUCGAGUGGAAGCAUGAACAAAUCCACAAAAUGCCCAAGAUGAGGCAAAGAAGGACAUUGGCUCAAAUGUUAAACAUAAGUUAGGAGCUGAGAUAAUGCCCAGAGGAAAAAUGUUCUGUAAUUCUAAGUAAAACCCAUCUCUAAGGCAGGAUGCUGCUUAUGAGGGCUCCACAGACAGAUGGGGGAGGCCUGGGUCCUGCCCUUGGAAAGAGUCUGACAGCUCGACUUCUGGAAACAGCCAUCUGCACAGGUCAACAUCUUCUUAGCUGACAGGGAGCAGAUUUGCAGACCACAUCACAUUUGAAAUUCCAGAAGAAACUUCUUGGAGUCUGCUCUUGUGCAAAUGAGCCUAGAAAGCCCGUUAACUUUGGGUGGAGGCUUCCACUGUUUGGCUAUCCCAAGUGGGCCCAAAGCUAAGGAAAACCCACCAGCCCUUUGCUUCCUGCUUCCUCUAUUUGUUUGCCCCAGGAAAUCAGAGGUGAUGACAUGAUUUGGCUUGGGCACGACAGGAAUAAACGAUAUUUAAGAGACGUCA
rnacentral:lncRNA from 10 species